UGAGGAAUAUUGCACAAUGGGCGAAAGCCUGAUGCAGCAACGCCGCGUGAGUGAUGAAGGCCUUUGGGUCGUAAAACUCUGUCCUUGGGGAAGAAAAAAAUGACGGUACCCUUGGAGGAAGCCCCGGCUAACUACGUGCCAGCAGCCGCGGUAAUACGUAGGGGGCGAGCGUUAUCCGGAAUUAUUGGGCGUAAAGAGUGCGUAGGUGGUUUUGUAAGCGUAGGGUGAAAGGCAGUAGCUCAACUACUGUUAGCCCUGCGAACUGUGAGACUUGAGUGCAGGAGAGGAAAGUGGAAUUCCUAGUGUAGCGGUGAAAUGCGUAGAUAUUAGGAGGAACACCAGUGGCGAAGGCGACUUUCUGGACUGUAACUGACACUGAGGCACGAAAGCGUGGGUAGCAAACAGG
rnacentral:rRNA from 1 species